ACUGCGAAUGGCUCAUUAAAUCAGUUAUCGUUUAUUUGAUAGUACCUUACUACAUGGAUAACCGUGGUAAUUCUAGAGCUAAUACAUGCUAAAAACCUCGACUUCGGAAGGGGUGUAUUUAUUAGAUAAAAAACCAAUGCCCUCCGGGGCUCCUUGGUGAUUCAUAAUAACUUCUCAGAUCGCAUGGCCUUGCGCCGGCGACGGUUCAUUCAAAUUUCUGCCCUAUCAACUUUCGAUGGUAAGGUAUUGGCUUACCAUGGUUUCAACGGGUAACGGGGAAUUAGGGUUCGAUUCCGGAGAGGGAGCCUGAGAAACGGCUACCACAUCCAAGGAAGGCAGCAGGCGCGCAAAUUACCCAAUCCCGAUACGGGGAGGUAGUGACAAUAAAUACUGAUACAGGGCUCUUUAGGGUCUUGUAAUUGGAAUGAGUACAAUUUAAACCUCUUAACGAGGAACAAUUGGAGGGCAAGUCUGGUGCCAGCAGCCGCGGUAAUUCCAGCUCCAAUAGCGUAUAUUAAAGUUGUUGCAGUUAAAAAGCUCGUAGUUGAACCUUUGGCCUGGCUGGCGGGUCCGCCUCACCGCGUGCACUC
rnacentral:rRNA from 1 species